UGAUUAUUUAUUACCUCAUGCUUGGUCUAGGUAACAUGUUCCUUCUAUAACUGCUAGUGCAGUCUUUGUGCCAUCUUGUGUCUGCCAUGACUCCGCCUCUCCUGCCUCUCAUUCCGGAGCCCCUUGCAUAGCUCGAGUUACCCAGGACACGAGAAACAGCUAAAGUCUCAGGAUUCCCUGGCCCUGAGGAGAGGGAUUGAUGAAGACAUGCCAUUUAGGGCUAAGACAGCUCAUUAUUGUUAAUUAAAUAAGUUCUCCCAAUCAUCUUCCAUAAGUAUCAUCAUAAUUUCAUACAUUUUAGUCUCAACAAAGUACAACUUAUGACCACCGACGGAACAGAGGACUUCGUGACCAGCUCAGGAUCAUUUGCUGCCUAAACCCAGAAAAG